GAUGAACGCUGGCGGCGUGCCUAAUACAUGCAAGUCGAGCGAACGGACGAGAAGCUUGCUCCUCUGAUGUUAGCGGCGGACGGGUGAGUAACACGUGGAUAACCUACCUAUAAGACUGGGAUAACUUCGGGAAACCGGAGCUAAUACCGGAGGAUAUUUUGAACCGCAUGGUUCAAAAGUUAAAGACGGCCUUGCUGUCACUUAUAGAUGGACCCGGCUUGCAUUAGCUAGUUGGUAAGGUAACGGCUUACCAAGGCAACGAUGCAUAACCGACCUGAGAGGGUGAUCGCCCAGCCUGGAACUGAGACACGGUCCCGACUCCUGCGGGAAGAAGCAGUCGGGACUCCUCCGCGAAGGAGGAAUGCCUGAUGGAGCAACGCCGCGUGAGUGCUGAAGGACUUCGGAUCGUAGAACUCUGUUAUUAGGAAAGAACAUAUGUGUAAGUAACUGUGCACAUCUUGACGGUACCUAAACAGAAAGCCACGGCUAACUACGUG
rnacentral:rRNA from 1 species